GCAGCAAUGAACACACUGAGACAGAAUGAUUUAGAUCAAGGACUGCCGGAAACAGCUAACACUGACUUUCACUGUGACCUGCUUCCGGCAGCACGAAAUGCAUCAACCGAUGCGGAAAAAUGUCAGAGUUUAGGUUAUGGCUUUGUUAACUACAAAUACCCUAGUGAUGCAGAAAAGGCAAUCAAUACUUUAAAUGGAUUGAGAUUACAAAAUAAAACAAUAAAGGUUUCAUAUGCCCGACCAAGCAGUGAAAGUAUUAAAGGGGCAAACUUGUACAUAAGUGGCUUGCCAAAGUCUUUCACUCAGUUGGACUUGGAGAAAUUGUUUUCUCAGUGUGGAUUCAUUAUAACAUCCAGAAUUCUUUAUGACAAUAACACAGGCUUAUCCAAAGGUGUUGGCUUCAUCCGAUUUGAUCAACGAAUCGAAGCUGAAAGAGCUAUCCAAAAAUUACACGGUACCAUUCCUGAAGGAGCAACUGAACCUAUUACUGUAAAGUUUGCUAACUCUCCAAGCUCAAAUAAAAAUGCUGUACCUCUAGCUUUAGCAGCUUCAUAUUUAUCACCAAGUAGGAGAAUCUUUGGUCCAAUUCAUCAUGCUGCUGGAAGAUUCAGAUACUCACCAUUGGAAGCUAGUCUACUGCCAGGAACAAUACUUCCAGGGAAUGCUCUAAAUGGCACUGGUUGGUGUAUUUUUGUAUACAACCUUGCACCAGACACUGAGGAUGAUGUACUUUGGCGUCUCUUUGGACCAUUUGGAGCUGUGCAAAAUGUGAAAGUGAUUCGUGAUUUUCAAACACAGAAAUGCAAAGGUUAUGGGUUUGUUACAAUGACCAAUUAUGAAGAGGCAUUGAUGGCUAUACAGACACUCAAUGGAUUCUUACUCGGCACACGGGUGCUACAGGUAUCAUUCAAAACGAAUAGCCGUAAAUCCUAAGACAUGAAGGAGAAAAAAUAUCCUGAUGGACUCCUAGUCAGAGAUGUGGUCAUAGAUGCGGACUUUUUUGCUGGUGUAUUCCAUGCCAUAUGGCCUACAGUCAUCCGCCAUAUAAGGCAUAUCAGAUUUAAAUCAAAACACCAAAGUAUAUUGGAAGUGAAAGCCAUUUGUGUUCAUAUCAGCAUAAUUUAUUUAAUUCUGCUCAACUAAGAACUUCAAGAGGGCUCAACCAAAAUUACAGAGAAACUGAACAUGAAAGCAAGAAACCUGUUGGGAAGUAUUGUUCUGCUCCUCUAGUUAUCUAAUUUAUCAGGAUAUUCCCAUUUAAAGCUAUCAUCUGGCAUCCGUCCAUAAGAACUUCUGAAGAGAAAAAUUCUUUUUGGAUGACUGUCAAUUUAUGAAAAUUGUCUUUCAUAGGAGACAUGAGGACACGUAUAUAAAGUUUGGUAGUUUAAUUCUCCUCCUGUGGGGAUUUUUCCCUGAAAUUAUAUUUACACUGUGAUUUAUAAAACGUGUUCAUUAGUUCAUUCUUCCCAUACUAAGACUAUUUUGAUACUCUACUGAUGUUCAUCUUUGACUAACACUUGGUGGGUGGACGGGUGGGUAUUUUGUCUGAGAUGCUCAUGAAAAUUCAUUCUUAAUUAUAUUCUACACCAUAUCUAAUGCCUUAGCUAUUGAAUCUCAGCUCUAGCGGCUUUGACUGACUCUCAAAUUUGGAUGGAUACAUUUUUCCCCUCCCUUUUCAACUUCUCAAAAAUCCUUGAGUAUUCUAGAGGUAUAUAUAUAUACACACAUUUAUAUAUAUAUAUAUAUAUAUAUAUAUAUAUAUAUAUAUAUAUAUAUAUAUACAUAUAUAAAUGUGUAUAUAUAUUCACUUGAUACACAGAGGAAAGUUUUGUUAUACUGCAGGACAAUACUUGUAUUCUUUCUCUCUAAUCUCUUUCCUUUCCUUCCUAUCUACAUACGUAAUAUUUCAUUCCAAGUAUUUUCUGCAAUAUUUAAAUUAAGAUUUAUAUUUGAAGAACCGGUUAUAUUUCUGGUUAUAUUCUGUAAAUGUUCUAUUACAAAUCGUUACAAAUGAUAAACUUUUAAGGGUGAAAAAAAUAUUUUGAAUAUGUAUUUUUGAGUUAAGAACUAUCACUCAGGGAAUUGGUUGUCCCAUUCUAGUAAAAUCUAGCAUUAAAACAAACGACUGCUAUACAGUCAGUUUCCUUUUCAAAAGACUGGUGUUAAUGUUUUCAAAAACAAAUUUCCCAUCUAAACAGGACUACUUCCCUUCUACUUGCUGAUGAGAAUAGUGUUUCUUUCUUAUCUAAAAUGGUUUUGAUUCUAAUUUUAAAGACAAAAAAUUUGAAUCUUUUGGCUUCUUGAAGUGUUCAAAAUUAGGUUAACUCUUUGCAUUAUUAUAUUAAUAUCAUUUUUCUAAGUUCUACUUAUUACAUUGCUUUGCAGUUAAAAAUAUACAGUUUCUUUUAUUUUUAAACAGGCAAACUUUUCCUUAGGAAAAUAAUCUAAAUUAAGAUUUUCAAAGGAAUUUGAUUCAAAUGCUUUAACUUGCAAUUUCUUCAAUUCACUUUCAGUAAAUAUUAGUAUGUUAGUACUAUGGUAAUUUAACUUUGCAGAUGCUAUUUAAUAUAAUCUUUAAAAUUAGACUGAAAAUUUGGCAUUGGUUAAAACUUAUUUAAUAAUUUACUGUGUUAUCUCAGUUGAAGAUAUUUCACUGUUAUCUAAAUUUGACAUGUUUCACUGUGGGUAUUCAUUUAUUCCUUUUUUAGACCCAAUUAGACUGAUCUAAUAAUGCUCUUUAAACAUUUCUAGUGUCCUGUUGAGCAGUACUUUCAUUAGUUAUUAAUGUUCAGUCAUCAACUAAAAUUUUUACUUUUUUUUUUUUAAUGUAAAUUAAAAUGAAUAGAUUGAAUUCUUGUUAAUAACUUGAAAGAAAAAGUAAUUUAUAUUCCCAAAUCAGUGGUAAAUGUUUCAUGCCUUCAAAGAUCUGCCUGAUAUGUCCUCUUGCUUAUGCAAUUCAAUAGCUUCUAUUUGAUCAAGCAUCUACUGACAGUAUUUUUCUAUAAAUUCAAUAAUUAUAUAUGUAGCAAAAGUUUAAAGAAUCCUUUACUACAAUACCAAUUGGAAUAAUUUGAUUUUAAAUCUUGAUUCCUUUGCUUUCUACAAAUUUGUGUAAAGCAAUCUUUUAUAAAUGUUAUUUUAUGCCAUACAUCAUUUUCUAUAGAAACAUUUGAAAUACUUUGCAAUGCACAGAACACUUCUUUAUUAUAUUCAGCUCUAAUUCACUUAGUGUUAAUGACUUGUUUUUGAUCCUGACCAGUUUUAUCUUAUAAUUUUCUCUAUCAAUAGAGACCUAUUUAAAAUUUUAAAAAGUCACAAAAAAAGGUUAUAUAAAAAAAAAAGAAAGAAAAAAGAAGCCUGCUUUGAUUGUAAGUUUGACUGUUUAUCUCCUAAAAUCUUAUUGUUUUAAUUCAACAUAUCAGCACUAUAUCUUCGAAACUUUCCUGGGGAAUUAUAUGCAUAAGGCGAAGAAUAACCAGCAGACAAGCCCUUUGUUAGCCAAUCGUGAGUGAAGACUGGUUCAGCUUUUUAUUUAUAAAAAAUUUUUUUUUUUUUUUUUUUUUUUUUAGUGAUGCUAAACAUUUAAACGUUGCAGUUAAUUCCAACUGCUGCCCUAACAGCAUGUUUUUUUGGCAUGGUUGGCUUUAUGGGAGCUGUAUGAAGGGUGAAAGAACAACUCAAAGGUUUGUCAAAUUCACAUGGGCAAAACAACCAAAGAUCUUCCAUUUCAAAUGAUGAUUUUUACAUCCUAUUCAAUUUUAAUGAGGUCAACAUGAAUGUAAAUAUAUACACAGAUCAGGCGAAAUUGAGUUAACAAAGGGUGGAAUGAAUUUGUUGCACACUAUAUCCAUUAUGGAAAUCUGCUGUUACAAAUUUUCCUGUAAAGAUCCAAACAUUCCUGGAAUAGAAUUUAAACUGAUUGCACUUGACCGUGCUCAGCUAAUGAGCCUCUUUGUAUAUAUGACUGGUCUUCAGAGGUUAAUAUUCUAAAGGAAAUAUUCUGCUUUAAAAGGGAACAAAAAAAAAAACUGUAAAAUUACCUUAAAAUAUUUGAUGAACGUAAUUCCAGUUUGUAAAGUUUUUUAUACAUAAUUGAAUAUAUGUUUGGAGAAUAUAUUUGCUCACUUUUGGAGAGCACGAGUUUUCGCAAAACAAAUUGUUGGUCUGAUGUUGAAUUGUGUAUUGUUCUAUUUUAUGAGCCACAAUUCAGGCAUUGGUGUUCGUUACACCCAAUCCCCCUAUUCCCUAAAAAAAACCCCAAAAACUUUUGAUCAAAUGUUCUACAAGAUUUUUAAAAAAAGAAAAAGAAAAAGAUAUGCAAAUCUCCUUUUUAAUGCGGAGAAACUGUGCUGAAAGUGAUCUCAAUUUGUUAAAGAAAAUAAAAAUCCCAAAAAAACCUCAACAAAAUGCUGACAUUUGUUCGUUACUCAGCUGCACACAACAGCUGCUGCUAUCAUACCCAGUGCUGUUACGUGUUGUCUGCAACAUCUUUAAUUAAUAUUACUCCAUACCAUACAGUUUUUAAGAGAUUCAGUAAAUCAGUUUUAAUUAUUUGAUAUUUGUUGCAUUUUUGUAUUGAAGUAAACAAAUUUUCAAGGUCCCACCGUCUUAAAAUUGUGUAUUUAGUAUUAUUAUUAUUAUCAUUAUUAUUAUUAUUAUCAUUAUUAUUACAACAUGUUUCUGAUUUCAAUGUUUUUCAAGACUUUGGAUUUUGUCUUUUACAAUUUCAUUCCAGUUUAGGUAAAGUAAACAAACUUGUGGUAUUUGAAUUGUUUUUGAAUUAGUUAAGUUUUACAGUUGGGGAAAGUUUGUCCAGGAAAUUUUAGAUCCUGACCAUUUACUCUUCUGUAUGAAUUUGCUUCAUGUUGUCUUGUUCUUACUUUUGCGUUUUUCUUCUACUUUGUGAUUUAUCUUGGGGAAAAUCAUUUAACUUCAACCCCAAGUAAUUAUUUUAGUUGGAGCAGCUGGCUGUUAUUUCCUUACUUGUAGUUUUGGUUGUAUUGCUGUUUUUGUAUUUUCUACAUGUCAAAUUAUGCAAUAAAAUUUCUGCAUUCAAAGUUAGUUUGCACUAACGUGUCAGGUAAUCAAUGCAUGAGAAUGGAUGGUUUUCCCUUACCAGUGUUACUUUGAAAAAGUCAACAUUUUCAUAUUUCUGAUGAUCAUCUUACUGCUGUGUAAGUCCUCCAAGAGGCUUGGCUAUUUAAAAGAAGAAAACAUUGCUCAGAUGUCUUUAUGCAAUACAUAUUUGAUCGUGACAUUGUGGGCCUCAAAUAAGACAUUACUGUAACAAACCUGUAUGUUUCUGUCGUUUUUCAUACUUCACAGUUGACCUUCUUUCUAGCUACAAGCAAGCAGACUAAAAUUACAAAGUGAUUUCUUAUGGACAGUAUCCAGAACGACUGCCACUUAGCAAACAUAUGACUAGAUUAACUUCUGAUUGUUCACAAUUGUUGAAGCUAUAAUUUGUUUGUAAUUUCUUGAAAGUUUAAAUAUUGAUAAUUUACUAAGACUAUUUUUCAUUUCAAAUAUGAAUUAUAAUACAAAAGUUAAUUGUUGGUUUCUAUUUUUUACUUUAUUUUUGAAUCCACUUUUUUCUUUUUCUUUUUUUUUUUUUUUUCCUUUUUGCUGUUUAUUUUGAAGUGUGGAAUGUUUUCUCACUAAUGAUAGAAACUUUUUUCUUUCCUUUUUUUUUUCUUUUUUUUUUUUGAAAUCUGACUCAAUAGAUUAAUUGCUUCUUAAUUACACUUAUUUUAUCUGCAGUUGCUUCUGCCAGAAGGUUAUUGUGAAGGAAACAUAAGUCUCGAAUGCUGGAUAACACUCUGUUAUGAGCAUUUGCACUACCAAAUUUGCCCCACUUUGUGGCCUCAAACUGUUGAUUGAUUUCUAUAAGUUGGCUAACGGGAACAUAAAACUCAGUCAUGGGGAAAAUUGUUAUUCCAGCGAUGUAUUACAACUUUUUUUUCCUUUUCACUUUUUAUUUAUUCACCAACCUAUAAACAUUCCAAAUCCAUUUGCACAUUUUAAAAAUGUUUAGUUUUUGUUGGGUAUAAUUGUGGUUAAAAUAAAUUAGAAGUAUUGUUUCUUUAAUCCCAUAAACAGCUGAUUUAUAUGAGAACAUACAUUCCAAAUAUUUUCCCCACUUGCCAUUUUUUUUAAAUAUUUCAACAUCUUUUAGAUACUUUAUACUGACUAAAACAUUGUGCAAUACAAAUUUUACCUGAACAUCAUGUUUCAGGGUUCCAAUGUUUCAGUUUUAAGUGGCAGACAAUAGAUUGGUUGAGAAAAAAAAUGAAUUGUAUUCAGGUUGCUUAUCCGUUAAUGAGCCAUAAUUAAAUUUUGCAGGCAAUUUUUUGAAACCAAUAAAAUAUUUAAUUGAAAAAAAUACCAUUUUCUAUUUUUGAUACAUUCUUUGCCUUUUUCUAUUUAAAAAAAUUCCUUGUCUUGUCUUCUUGAAAGAAAACCCAGCUUCUACAAAGUUCAGUUGUCUAAACAUUCAAGUUAAAUUUACUUGCUGGAUGUCAGAUUUUAGGCUGAAUAGUAUAAUUACUAAGAAUCUUACUUUAGCUGCUUUUACAGUCGCUUCUCUUGAAAAUUAAUGGUGUAUAUAUACCUAUAGACUUCCUCAAACUAUGUGAUUUUUGCAUAGUUAUUGUCAAAUUUCAAUGUAGCAUAUUUAUGAGUACAUAUAAUAAAAUUAUAUUAAUGCCUUCCAAUAUUUGAUAUUUCGGGACCAAUUAUUUAUAUUAAACUAAUGCUUGCGGAACAUUGGUUCAGUGUUCAGUUGUUAAAUGUUUUGAGAUUGUGAUUUAGAAAUGUCUUGUAUGACGACACCAUUUCACUUGAAGGUGUAUAGAGCUGCUGCUUGAAAAUGUUGGUUGUGUGCAAAGAAAAACAAAAAAGAAUGAAAAAGACACUUCAAUAAAAGUUUUGUAAAGUAUGCUGCUGACAUGAUCUCAGCAAAUCGUGAGAUGUAUUUGUAAAAUUCUAACAGAAAAAAAUACUAUUUGGCUUUUAAUGAGCCAUUAUAUUAAAUUCUGGAGUAAAGAUUUUAACAGAAUUGAACUCAAUAUUUUUACAAUUUGUAUUGGCAGUUAGGAAUAUUGUAGGUUUAUUUAUAUUGGAGUAAAAUGAAGAGUAGUUACGUAAUUAUUUCCUGUUGUAGCAAUAACUGUUAUCUUUAUUGAAAAAUUAUUUAAUAAGAUACUAAGAAUUUAUAGAAAUUAUUCAUUUUUAGAUAAUCAAUUUAGUUAGUUUAUUAGAUUAAUCAAUUUUCAUAAUUUCUAUACACAUCUAAUUUUAAUUACUGAAUAAUGCCCACUUUAAUAUAAAUAUAAUAAAUUUGAGUAUGUUGUUAGACUGGUAUUUUUAGCCACUUGUGUGUUACUGGGGGAAUAUCUAUGCAAUUUAUUGAGAAUCAAAAGUAAUUUAUUCUUGCUGAAUAAAAACUUGCAAUAGUUUGCCAACAGUUUUUCAAUAUUUGGCUAUUGAACUAUUGAAAGUUAUGCAUUUUAAAAUUUUUCUAAACUAUCAAUUGGCAAGAAAAAAUAUCUAUAUUUUGCUAUUCAUCUUGUCAUGGAUUUUUUUAUAGGCUUAAGAAUUUUCAGAAGUUCUUGUACAUAAAAUAAUUUCAUGACUGCCAUCAGAAAGAUCAUUAAAACUUACCUCCAUCCACUUCAUUUAUUCAAGAUAACAUUUUACAAUCCUCUAUCUUAGUAUUAAUAUUUUAACCCUCAACAAUGAAUUAUUUGAACAUCCCUGAAAUCAAUCAUCUUCCUUUUAAAGAUGGCUUAAUGUAUCAUCUCUUCUAAGAUGUCUCUGUUGCCUUGGUAAUGAGGCCAUGUCGGUCAGAUUUCCUGCCUGGAAUCUUAGUUUGUUUACCUAAUACCUGUCAUAAUUCUAGUGGUGAAGCUGAAGUAUUAUAAAGUCUUUUUGUCAAUGCAUUCAGGCUUCAAAUGCCUAUGUUUCACUUGAUAAUAGUGACACUUUCAUAACUGAAAAUUUUCAGACGAAAAUAAAUUUAAAAAAAAAAACAGAAACGCAUACAAAAAAUAAUAUAAACAGAAAUCACCUUUGAGGCAUUGAACAAAAACUUUCAAAGAUUUUUCUUUUUACUGCACAAAUGGAUUUCAGUUUUGCAAUGAGGAGAGAAAAUAGUUUUCUAUCUGAUGAUAGAAAAUUAAAAAUUUUAGCAAAGUGUGCUGGUUCUUCUCUAAGUGAAAUUUUUACAGUGUUUGUUAUUUAAAGUUAAAAGACACUGGAAAAAAAUGUUCAUUCAGCUUCUCCAUCAAUAAAUUGGGGUAGACAUUUCUUGAAUUUCUACAACAACGAUAUUCAGUAUUGAUAUAAGGAGUUUUCUUAUAUUUUGAGAUGUAUAUGCAUAUCUUAAUUUAUAAAGAAUUAUGUGACAAUGGUUCAUUUUUAGGAGGAAAGUAUUAAAAGUCUGUUUGAAUAGGAAUUCUUUUUCUUUUUUUUUUUUUUUAUCAUGUAUUGUAAACUAAGAAUUUUUGCUAGCCUGUACCAGGUUUCUUGAAUUUGUGAUGGAAAUUGCAUUCUUUCUAUUCUGAACGGUUAAAAUUUAUUCAUGAUAUUUAACUGUUUUUCUGGAUACUAUUGAAUCUUCCUCAUAAGUGUACUAGUAGUUAAAAAGACUUAGCAAAAAGAAAAAUUGAUGGUAUUUUAUAGAAGUAACCAGCCGAAUAUUAAUAUUCUAAAAUUGCUGUACCACCUAAUCAAACGAACCUUCAUUGUAUUUAAUUUAAUUUUUCUGCUUUCCUUAUUAUUCAUUGUUCCUUUCUCUCUGCAUAUUCGAACAAGAUACUGAAAUACUUUAGAAUUCUAUUUGAAAUCUGUUUAUAUAGCUGCUGUAAUUAUGUCAAGUAUUAUGAGGAGAGGAUAUUCUUUCUUGUCGUAGGGUGCGAUAGCUUAGUUCUUAAAAGAAUAUAAAAAUUUGAUAUACCACGUCCACUUCUGAAUUGUACUUAUAAGUACAAAAUUUGAACAACUCUAGAUUAUGAGAGAUAAUUCAACUACCUCACAAUAUGGUGGAGGAUUUAUUGUUAAAAUAUUUGACAUACAAACCCCUAAAUUAACAUGAAUUCCUAUCCUUCAUAAUGAUUCAGAUUAAUACAUACGGGUAGGUAUCAUUUAAGAUACUAUCGAAUAUAUCCUUAUCCAACCAACUCUAUUUUAUCUUUAUUUUCUCCUACCUAUUCUGACUCUGGAAGAUACUUUCUUCUCCAUUUUCUCUCUAGUCACUCUGUAUUAGUUAGUUUUACUUGUUUAUUUCUUCACUUUCAAUCUGCACUUGAGCUAGUUUCAUUGCCUACUGGAAAGUUUCUGUAAAACGUCAAAAUACUUCUCGUUUAGUUACUGAAUUCUGGACAAAAAGGAUUUAUCUUUUCAAUGCUAAUUGAUAUUUCUGCCAUAUAAGCGGUAAAUUAGUGAUAUGUGGAACUAUAAAUUUCUUUCUGUGUAUUGGACUCUUUGGCAAACCUUUGACUAAUUGUCUACUUGUACUAUCUAGAUAUCAACAGACAAUAUGAAUGUUUCAAAUUCUUUAUAUGCUACAUUUUAAAGAUUCCAUGUUUGUUAAAUCAUACUUUUAGUUCAGUGUUGGCCAUUAUUGGUUGCAAGUUAUUUCAUUGUUAUUCAACAUUAGACAUAAUACCGAAAAGGUGUUUCGGUCUAUGUAAUGUAUGCGAUAAGACCAGUCAGAACAGAUAGUUACAUUGACUGGAGUCCAAUUUAUAAAACUUGUUUUUAAUAACUGUCGCAGACUAAGGGUGCUAGAACCACUGCCGAAUAAAACCUUGCCAUGAAGAAGAAGAGGAAAAAAAAUUACUAUAUUCAGGGCUUUGUUCCUGCAGAAACAUAGUCUUGAAAGUUUAACUGCAGUCUUCAAGACUUGCUGUUUAUAAACUGCUGAUCUUUUCUGAACCAUUUUAUACCAUGUAGUGUAUUGAAUAGAGAAGAAUGAGAUGUUUUGCUGUUUUAUUUCUAUUUAAUCAGGUAGUGGAUUGAACUAUUUCUCAUUCUCAUAACAUUUCUUCGAUAUCAUUGCUAUCAAAUGUUCUCAUCCAUUGACAUCAGUUUCCUGUUGUUGUUCUUGUUGUUGUUGUUGUUGUUGCAAACUGCCUUUUCCAGAGACAGUUUCAACUCUCAGAUUCUUGUUUUUCUUUUCUUCUGCCAUAACUGUAGCUGAUGCUACUAAUGUUACUAUUUGCACUGCUACUACUAUUCGUUAUUUCUCUGUUCCAUUUCAUUAGUGACACUAUUAGAUUUUUACGUGGUAACAAAAUGCUAGAGCACUAGAUCUAUAAUUACUUAGUGUUUUACAUUUCUUUCUAUUAAUUACUUGUAGAGAUAUUAAGUGGAAUUCAGUUAAUUUUUAAAGAAUCAUCUGAGCGAAAAUAUAAAUCAUUAUCAUAUUCGUUAAUCUACAGUUUGCACAAAAAUAAUUAUUCCAAGACCACUAGUGCUAGUAAGACUUUGAGCAAGUAUUACAAGAAACUUUUCCAUGUUAUCUUUAUUGUUGAGGCAGGUUUAUUGAUCUUAUCGCCUCUUGUUUAGGCAAUGUCUACAUUAGCCUUAAGUUUAAUCUCCUCUAAUUAAAAUCCCAGAUUUUUACUGCUGACUUAAGUGCUCACACAUCAAAUGGAUUGUUUAAAAUACUUGCCUGCUCGAUGGAUCCAUGCUGGCUAACUCUUCACUUUAUCUUAUGUGAAGUGUUAAGUCAAAAUAUUUCCAGAAGGACGUUACAGAUGGUUUCAAAAUAUUUUUUAAGAUGACUGCUUGAAACCCGAAAAAGUACAUCUAAGUCUGUAUUUGUUGAUAUUCAUUAUCAAAGACUUAAAAAUGUAUUUCUUUGUUUUAAAACUACAUUUGUUCUAGUCACAAGAAAACUCUCCUUUAUCUUCUAUUUUAGGUUAUGAAAUCUGAAAUUUUACAGUUUAUUAAAAUCAUAUUUAACUGGCGCUCUUGAACAAUUUAGCUGUUAUUGUUAAAAUGAAAUAUUGCGAAAAUUUUAUUUUCCUGAGUUGUUCAUGAGCUGCAAACAUUUGGACAUGUGAUCUAGUGACUGAUGCGAUUACGUGUUGGGUAUCAUGAUAGAUAAAUGUUGAAUAUCUGAAUUAUAAAUUGGUACCAACUUGAAAGUUAUUUUUCUUUCUUUUUUUUUUUUUUUCUAUUAAAUCCUCUUGAGAAAAUAUAGUGCCUCUCAACUUAUAUAUAUUUGUAUGGCACUUGACAUAUAUCGUAAUUUUUCUUACUAAAUUUACAAUUAGUUAACUGCCCACCUUUUUCUGAUCUGAAAUAACUGUUACGCCAUUGUAUGUUUAAAUAUUUAUGUAAUGUUGUAAAACAACUGGUAUUAUGCCAGCAAUUGUUAGUGGUUUUCAUAUGAAUAUUUUAAUAUUGGAAGUUUUAUCUGUUGACGUUUGUCGUUUGUUGCCAAAGCUUUAAACCAGUCCCUGUAAGCUAUAUAUUGCCUCAAUUUUGCAUGUUGUUUUGUGCUACCUACCAGAGACCAAACAUUUAAAGUCUUUAUUUCGUCCGUUAUGUCUUAAAAAUGAAUAUUAAGCUUAAAAAGAAAGAAAAAAAACAAUCUGUUGGGGAAUUAGUUAUUGGUUCACUAAGCUAUUUGCUUGGGGGAGUCCUGUAAAGUAAGUAUGCGAUACAAGAGUAUAUUUACUAGGGGAGUUCUGCAUUGCAAGAGUCUAUUUUGUUAAUCACUGGAGGUAUUUAUAGAAAAUAUUGUGUAUACGCUUCAGACGGAUGUAUCAAAACUAAGUGAAAUUUAUAGCUGAACAAAAAUCUAUAGGAACUGCAAACAUUUUUUUAAGAAUCUGUCUAUAAGCAUAAAGAUUAACAAAAUUUAAGGUGGAAGAAAAAAAAAAAAGCAAAUGGUUCAUCUAUUUUAUAUAUCAUCAUUCGUCUGCAUUUACAUCGCUGGAUAUGCAAAGCACCCAUGGUUGUGUUAGAUUAAGAUGGUUUAGCAAUUAUAAGUAAGGAAGAAGCAAGCUAUGUUAAUCUCUAAAGCCAUUAGCAUAACAUCAUUAAGAGUACAGUGGGAUGAGUGUUGGCAGUUUUGUAACUUCAAUGCAUGUUCUUGGUAAGAUGGCAGUUAUAAAAGAUCAUUUGCCACACUGGCUGGGAAACCUAUUGAGUUUGUCUUUUUAAUCACUUUUCACUUUCCAAUUUAAAAUAUCUUAUUUGAAAUUAGCAACCAUCAGUUUUAAUGUCUUGUUAUUUGCUUACACUUGCUUACUCACUAUAUUUAAAUAGAGUUUCAACACAGUAGUAGUCAGAGGAAAAUCUUUUUAGUCUUUUUUUUCAAUCUUUUUUUUUUUUUUUCUUCCAGUCUCUUGGUUCAAUCUUUUUUCCCAGUGCAAUUGUUUUUGUUUCUGCCAGAAGGGUGAGUGGGAAACGUUCGAAAUUCGAACAUUGCUAAGUUAAACCUGGAAAAUCUGAAGUAAAAUGUAAACAUCAGGAAGGUAUGUUUUGUGUUUGAGAAAACAGAAGUAUUUAUUGGUGUUGCUGUAGCUAGUUACACCGCUUCGGUCUUCUAGAUUAAAAAAAAAAAAAUGAAAUUUCUAACUAUAACAGCGUGAUGCGUAUGUAAAAGGGUUAAGAUAAAUGGAUAUUCAGAUGAGAUACAAAAUUAGUUUGGUUUUUUUUUUUUUUAUCAUCUGAUAAAGUUCAAAGCAAGAAAGGUUAACCGACAUUAUGCUGAGAGGAGUAAACACCCUAAGUAUGAAUGUAAUUUAUGUAUGCAUGUGUUGUAUGUAAUGAAUAUUUCUAGGUUUAAGGUUCUCAGUUUAAUACUUGCUUGCUUGUAUCUUAUAAAGUCAGAAGAAAAAGAAAAAAACUGAAAUGGCUGUAAUCCAUAUAGGACCCUUGCUAUUAAGAGCACAAAAACAAAGGGUAAUUUUCAACAUUGAAGUCAUGCAGUUGUCAGUUUUCCUCAAGACAUUCCCUUAUAUAGACUGUCCACUACUAAAAGUUCAAUAAACAAUUUUUCUUCGACCUUUGGUUGUUGCUGAUCUUUUCUUUUUGUUUUGUUUUUUUCUUUUCUUUUUUCUUAUUUUAUUGCAUUUAUUAUCAGUUGCAUAAUUUCAGUUUUUUUUUUUUUUUGAAAUUUUUUUUUUUUUUAAUCUCAGAUGAUUUUUUCCCCACUUUUUUUUUUUUUUUUAUUUAACUAAACAUUUUUUUGUUUCUGCAAAAUAGCAAACAGCCAUUACCAUUUACCUGGACUCUAUUUUGUUGAAAGAAGAGAAAGAAAAAAAAAAAUUAUCCACCGAAACCAGAUUGAUAUUUCGAGUGAAUAAAUUUAAGCAAAUGAUGGUUG
rnacentral:misc_RNA from 1 species